GAGAGGGUGAGAGAAGGACCACUCCCCACCCAGGAGUGUAAGGGAAGGCAGCAGGCGAAGACAGAAGCCGGGACACUACACUGGGAGGAAGGGUGGGUGUGGCAGGGAGCAGAGCACCAUCAGCGGGGAGAGGAGGCUGCAAGUGAGGACACAGAAUUCAGCCUGCAGCUCGCCAGCCUGCAGCCCAUGGCGACUCUAAAGGCCGCAUCUCAGAAGCAGAGCGGGGAAGUGAGGGAAGGGAGGCGAGGAGCCUGGCUUGAUACCAGGCAGAGAGGGGACUGAAAACCCAUUCGGGCCACUGAAGGGAGGAACUGCUGGUGACUAAGGUGUCCGGAACCAAGGACGGAACACCGGGUUCUGGCUCAGCCGGCUGCGAGGCAAGGCGGGAGCACAGCAGAGGGGCAGGUUGGGGUGGGGCUGGUGGAACCCGGUGAGAGCCAGGUCCCCUUAUCAGGGCGUCACUGCUGCGCACAGCGGCUGCCCCAGCAAAUGUGGUGAAUGCAGGGAAGGUGCGUGCAGAGCAACAGGUGGGGAUGCGCUUCACCGCGAUGCCGGCAGAUUAGAGGGCAGGGCCCGGGAGGGCAUCUCUGAUAAAGGAGGAACUCAGGCGCCAGUCACGGUGCCGGCAGGUGACUCACACUCUCACUGCAGAAUCGGGCGAGGCCGAGUGGAGGUUCCCGGGACCGAGUCAGCAGGAGGGACGGGUCCUGGACUAGCCAGUGGCACUGGGAGCCCGAGGGCAGAGUGGGGACUGGGAACCCUGCCCCUUCUUGGAGCUCCGUGCCCCGCUUGCGGGCUCACCUAAAAGGCUCACGGCCCUGACAAUGUGGAGAGGACCGCCCACUGUGCUGAACAGACUUGUUUCAUGAUUUGGGGGCAACACUGUCCCCCGCAAACAUGGUCCCUGAGACAGGCGGCUCUGCCCCGUAUCUGCAGAGCACCCGCAGGCGGCACGAGCCUCUCCCUGACCCGCUCCGCGGUGCGGCUGGGUGCUGACUCGGAGUGGACGUCCUCACUGCCACACGAGUGGGCAGGAGCGCUAGGGCUGGGACCCUGUGGUCUGGCCCUGCCAAGGCCACCGCAGGUGGGACUGACAUCUAGGCGCUUCCUUCCUGCGACACGUUACAUUAGGUGAGUUCUACUGAGUGAUAAACACCCAUGGCCCUGGCAGGACAAGGGCUCCCCUGCCCCGGGGGGCAGCUGCCCGCCAGCCGGCUCCCAGCAGGAAGUGGGGACAGGGCCCGCAGACAGACCUGGACUUUGGAAUCAAACAAAGGCUCUGACUCCGGCCCCACCCUCGGUAAACUGUCCCCGCCCGAGCAGCUUCCUGCCUACAGAGCACAGGGCGGCACAGGGGGGCACAGGGGGGCUCAGCGCUUAUCACGCAGACUCUGAAACAGGAGGUUAGUGCCCUGAGUUCCUGGGAAGGAGAGGAGAUACCAGGCAGGGUGUGGACGCCUGGCCAGCGGGUUAUCACGCCUCAGGCUCCUCCUGUCCUGGGUGCGUUCCUGCUCCGGACAAAGGGGACAGGAGGCAGGUGAUGGCCGAGCGGAACAGAAGGCUUCGCCCAGGAGGGGACAGCGGGACAGCCAGGCUGACACCGGUGUCCACGCGAGGGGCUGCGAGGACGCCCAGGUCAGGUAUCCCUCCUCUCUGCACGCUCACCAGGCCGCCUCGAGGCCACGCCGCUGUGAGCACCAGAGACUGUCCCCUCCUCCUGCACAAGCCCCACACAGCUGCCUCCUGAGCCCGUGAACACGGCCCACACAGCUGCCUCCUGAGCCCGUGAACACGGCCCACACAGCUGCCUCCUGAGCCCAUGAACACGGCCCACACAGCCGGCGGGCCCCCGCACAUGGAGCAACUACACCGGGGCAGUAGGAGGACUGGUGGCUGACAUGGGCUGGAAGAUGAGUUUAAUAAAAUAUUACAUAUUGGAA